rnacentral:lncRNA from 1 species
AUGUCGGAUCCUUCCAAAAGGACUACGAAGCAUUUAGCGUUGGUAGCUAACUUUUAUAAAAAUGUAAAUAAACCCUUGGUCAUCCCAGAUAAUUUAAAGGUGCUCCUGGAGUUCCCUAGUGGACUAGUGGUUAAGGAUCUGGGGUUGUCACUGCUAUGGGUCAGGUUUAAUUCUUGGCCAGGAAAUUGUACAUGCUGUAGUUGCGGGAAAGAAAGAAAAGAAAGAAAGAAAAGAAGGAAAGAAAGAAAGAAAGAAAGAAAGAAAGAAAGAAAGAAAGAAAGAAAGAAAGAAAGAAAGAAAGAAAAGAAAAGAAAAGAAAAGAAAGAGAAAGAAAGAAAUAAAGAGAGAAAGAAAGAGAAGGAAGGAAGGAAGGAAGAAAGAAGGAAGGAAGGAAAGAAAGAAGGAAAGAGAAAGAAAGAAGGAAGGAAAGAAAGAAAGAAAGAAGGAAGGAAGGAAAGAAAGAAGAAAAGAAAGAAGGAAGGAAAGAAAGAAAGAGAAGGAAGGAAGGAAGGAAAGAAAAAGAAAGAAAGAGAAGAAAGAAAGGAAGGAAGGAAGGAAAGAGAGAAGGAAGGAAGGAAGGAAAGAAAAAGAAAGAAAGAGAAGAAAGAAAGGAAGGAAGGAAGGAAAGAGAGAAGGAAAGAAGGAAGAAAAGAAAGAAGGAAAGAAGAAGGAAAGAAAGAAGGAAAGAAGAAGGAAAGAAAGAAGGAAAGAAGGAAGGAAGGAAAGAAAGAAGGAAAGAAAGAAGGAAAGAAAGAAGGAAAGAAAGAAGGAAAGAAAGAAGGAAAGAAGAAGGAAAGAAAGAAGGAAAGAAGGAAGGAAGGAAAGAAAGAAGGAAAGAAAGAAGGAAAGAAAGAAGGAAGGAAAGAAAGAAGGAAAGAAAGAAGGAAGGAAGGAAAGAAGGAAGGAAAGAAGGAAGGAAAGAAAAAGAAAGAAAGAAAGGAAGAGAGAGAGAGAGAGAAAGGGGAAAUAAAGGCAGAAAUUAAGUUUUGCAAAAAGGUAAAUCAACUAUACUUCCAUAAAAAAAUAAAUGUAUAA